rnacentral:tRNA from 1 species
GCGGGUGUAGCUCAGUUGGUAGAGCGUCAGCUUCCCAAGCUGGAUGUCGCCGGUUCGAAUCCGGUCGCCCGCUCCA